GCAUUCUGAUUUUUUCUAGUAGAGGAAGAGUCCUUCUACUUGUUAAAGACCUCUCAUUCCAUGCCUUAACCCAUGGGAUUCCAUGCUAAAAAUUGAUUUUAGCAUGUAAGGGAGGUGGGACGCCAACCUUGUAAAAAUAUGUGGCGCCCCUUCAUUCCUUAUAUAAGGGGCACCCCAUAUGGCAUAAACUCUCAUCCAAAAGGUGGUUUGGACAUGGGAUU
rnacentral:lncRNA from 1 species